UCCAGUGAACAGGGAAGGCAAGGCACACACUCCAUUCAGCUGCUCAAGGGCAGCUCAGCCUCAUUCUUCUGCCAAAAGGGCAGAGAAGGGUUACUUCCUCAUGUCUGGCUUUGUGCUCUUGUGGGCAGAAUUUGCAAGCAGAGAAACACCCACAAGUCAAACAGGUGGGUUUCACACAUUUCCUUAGCCCCAAAACAGUGCUCUUUGAUUAUCAUCUUGAAAAAGGCUUGUUUGCUACAGGUAAAUAUUACCUGAACAGAUGAAAUGUGAGCAGAUGGAGAAAGGAACAGGGCUCUGUUCCCUUUAAAAAAUUAAAAAGAGGACAUUUAGGCAGGUGUGGCUUUAUCUUAUUCCUGCAAAACAAGCUGCACCUGCCGAAAUUCCCUUUCUGAAACAGCUACCUGAAGACAACACAGGCAUUCUGUCUUCUUUUCCUGUUAGUUUCUCGCUCGGUCUCUGUGUAGGAAGAAGUAGCUGUGUUCACAAGGAAGGGGAACUACAGUAAGGCUAUAAUCCUGUACUGAAGUUACUUGGCAGUAAGCCCCACUGAACUCAGUGGGACUUCCUUCUCUAAUCAACAUGCAUAGGUUUAGGCUGCAUCAGAUCUAAGAUGUAACAAUUCUUGAGGGUUUGUAAAGAAAUGGGCAUUUUCAUUAAGGAAUUUCAUUCAUUUAGGGAGAGGGGGACCAGAUGGACAGGGGGACCCUCUACAGCAGAUUGGGGAUGGGGAGGCUGCAGUGGAGAUGAGAGGAAGGGGAAUUAACAAUGCAGAAGUCCACUCACACAGAAUCUUUCUUUAUUAUACAGUCAUACCUCAGGUUACAUAUGCUUCAGGUUGAGUGUUUUCGGGUUGCGCUCUGCGGCGACCCGGAAGUAGUGGAACGCGUUACUUCUGGGUUUUGCCGCUCGCGCAUGCACAGAUGCUCAAAAUGACGUGUGCAGAAGUGGCGAAUUGCAACACGUGCAGUCGCGUGUUAUGUUCGCUUCAGGAUGCGAACGGGGCUCCGGAACGGAUCCCGUUUGCAUCCAGAAGUACCACUGUACUAACAUGAUGAGCUGCUUGUGCGUAAAAUCGUAUCCCCUCAGAGUUUGUUCAAGUCCACAAACCUCUGUCUGUGACGGAGCCCCUCAGACAUGGCUGCUCUAGUCACUAGCAGAUUCCGACAGUGGUUGCUUUCGUAAUCGCUUCCAACAUAAAAGCUCCUUAACGGAAACACGUCUUCUGGAAUCUCUGCGUGACAGUUUCCGGCGAGGAGUGGGUGUUCUUACAGGAGGUCCUGAAACCUCCCCACUGUUUUCGCUGGAAGUGUCUCUGAGCCAUCCCUCCAGCUCAGCUCCUCUCCCCUGCUGGUUCCUUCUUCAGCUGCUGCGUCUCUCCCAACCUGUGUGAGCCCUUUCACCUCCCUGUUGGUUCCCUCUUCAGCUGCUGCGUCUCUCCCAACCUGUGUGAGCCCUUUCACCUCCCUUCCGUCCGAUGGCAGUUCCCUGACAUCCACCUCCCCUCCAGGGCCCCCUUCACCCCCUCUCGCCCGGGCGGUGAGGAGGCAAAACCCCGGAAUGAACUUCCUUCAUCUUCCGAUGUCUCGAACACUUCUCUCAACCUGUUGCGGUUCCUGGUCUCGAAGUACACCUCCUCCUCAGAGUCCAUCUCCCUUCCCCUUCCGAGUCCGGGAAUCCUUCCAACUCCUCCCCUUCAUCAGUGGUCCCAAAGUAUUCCCUCCGGAACCUCUCCACAGGCUGAGGUUUCCUUGGGAACCUUUGAUGGAACGUUUCUAUCAAUACCUCGUCAUUGAUAUCUUCAGCCAUUACCCAAGUGUUUUCUGACUCCGGUUCUCCUUCCCACGCUACCAAAUACUCCACCUGAUCCCCCUUCCACCUGGCGUCGAGGAUUUCUGCCACAUGGCUGCUGCAUUCUCUUUCUUCUACGACCGGUCCCCGAGUGGCCAGCCCUUCUCGUCCCCUUUCGUACGGUGACAGUAACGACCUGUGAAAUACUGGGUGCAGUUUCAUGUGGUUGGGUAACCGGAGCCUGAAAGCCACUGGGUUGACCUGUUGAAUGACCUCAAAGGGACCCAACCUCCUGGGUCUUAAUUUCUUACAACCUCCUUUGAACGGCAACCCUUGGGUUGACAGCCACACCCUAUCUCCCACCCUUAUGGUUUCACCUUCCCUUCGGUUCUUGUCUGCCUGCCUCUUGUAUUCUUCCUUCGCCCUUUCUAAGUUGAGUUGGAGCUGACGAUGGAUUGCUUCCAUUUCUUCCACAAAAUGCUCGGCUGCCGGGACGCUCCAUCUCUCCCCUCUCCCCUGGGAAAGCCCUGGGAUGACACCCAUAAUUAGCCAAGAAGGGGCUCAUCCCUGUGGACACAUUCUCGGCAUUGUUGUAGGCAAAUUCCGCCAGCGCCAACUUUUCUACCCAGUCAUUCUCUCUGUCAUUGACAUAACACCUCAGGUAUUGCUGGAGGACACCGUUUGCUCUUUCCGCCUGCCCGUUGGUUUCAGGGUGCCGGGCAGUCGAAAAAUUGACCUCCACCUGCAGUAAGCUCAUGAGCUUCCUCCAGAACCUGGAAGUAAAUUGUUUUCCUCGGUCUGAGACCACCCUCAAUGGCACCCCGUGCAACCUAAAAAUGUUUUCUACAAAUAACUUCGCUGUCUCUUCCGCCGUGACUGCAUGCGAGCAAGCUACAAAGUGGCACAUCUUUGUUAGUAGGUCUACCACCACCAUGAUGGCUGUUUUCCUUUGGACUUCGGCAGAUCAGUCAUAAAAUCUAUCGACACUGCCUCCCAAGGUCGUUCUGGGGUUGGUAAGGGUUCUAACAGCCCCGCCGGCGCCCGCCUUUCCCUUUGGCUCGCUGGCAUUGCUCGCACCCUCUUACAUACUCACGUACAUCUUCCCUCACCUUAGGCCACCAAAAUUCCCUGGUGACCAACCACAUGGUUUUGUGUUGUCCAAAAUGCCCCGCCGUAGGGCUGUCGUGCAACUGCUUGAGUACCCUCCCCUUAACUCUCCUUCAGGGAUAUACAGUGCCCCUUUGUAAUACAAAGCUCCAUUUCUUUCCUCGAAACCCCUGGUUCCUCUCCAUCACCCCUAAGACCUCUGAGCUUAUUCUGGGCGUAUUCAUCAUUCUCUGUUUCCUCUACCAGUUCUCUUUGUCCCACCAAUGCCGCCCCACACACCCAGCGGUCUUCUGGAAUGACAUGUCUCUCUUCGGGUGCCCCUCCCUCCAAAUAUUCAGGUUUGCGUGAGAGAGCGUCCGCCCUAAUGUUCUCUGGGCCUGGCACGUAACUAAUCUCAAAGUUAAAUUUGGAGAACUCCUGGGCCCAUCUCACUUGCCGUUGGUUGAGCACUCGUGCCGUCCUCCAAUACUCUAGGUUCUUGUGGUCAGUGCACACUUGCACCUUAUGUUGUGCGCCAAUUAGCAGGUGCCUCCAUCUCCGGAACGCCUCAUGAAUGGCUAGUAGUUCUCGGUCAUACACCGUGUAGUUCCUCUCGGAUUUGUUCAGCUUUCGCGAAAAAAGGCACACGGUCUCCACUCUGACCCCUUCUUGCCUGGCUGCAGAAGCACCGCCCCAAUCGCUCUGUCUGAUGCGUCAGUUUCCACUCUCAUCGGUUUUUGUAAAUCCACAUGCAGGAGUUGUUGUUCCGAGGCGAAGGCCCUUUUAGUUCCUCAAAUGCUCGCUCCGCCUCCUCAGUCCACACGAACUUCUUCUUACUGCUGAGACAGUCCGUAAUGGGCGCCGUCAGGUGGGCAAAGUUUCGGAUGAACUUACGAUAGAAGUUCCCAAAUCCUAGGAACCUCUGCACAUCCUUCUUUGUUUUGGGUGUUUUCCAUUCCAGCACCGCCUGGACCUUGCCGGGAUCCAUGGCCAAUCCCUUGUCUGACAGGCGAUACCCCAGGAAUUCCACCUCCUUGGUAUGAAACUGACACUUCUCCAGUUUCACCCACAGCUGGGUGGCUUGCAGCCUGCUCAACACUUCUCUGACGUCUCUCACAUGCUGCUCCUCAUUCUCAGAAUACACCAACACGUCGUCUAAAAAGGCCACACAAUUCUUGUAAAGCAAAGGCCCCAGGACGUGGUUCAUAAACGAUUGAAAUGUUGCGGAGCCUGCUUGUAGGCCGAAGGGCAUAACCAAAUAUUCAAAUGCCCCUAAAGGGGUGAACAUAGUGGUUUUCCAUUCAUCCCCCUUCCUUAUUCGUACCAGGUUGUACGCCCCCCUUAGGUCCAGCUUUGUGAAAAUCUUUCCCUUCCGCACCCUUGUCAAAAUGUCGUCAAUCCUGGGCAUAGGGAAGGCUACUGGUUCUGACACUGCAUUUAAGGCCCUGAAGUCACACACCAGCCUCGGCUUGUUCGUGUUUUUCUUAUCCACAAAAACACUGGGCUGCCCCCACCGCGCUGGACUCUCUGAUGAACCCUCUCUUCAGGUUCUUGUCAAUGAACUCUCUUAACUCCUGCAUCUCUCUGUCUGACAUGGCGUACAGCUUGCCUACAGGGAGCUGUGCUCCAGGGAGUAAGUUGAUUUGACAGUCAAAGGGUCUAUGCGGGGUAGUUGGUCAGCUUCCCUUUCGCUGAAGACGUCACGGAGAUCUGCAUAUUGUCGUGGUACCUUCACGUUCUCUGUUACUUCAGUCCCUGCUAGGGUGGCUUGGACCCCUGCCAAACCCUUUCCCUCUUUGCAGUGUUCUAAGCAAUGUGCUGAACCAAAAGAAACCACUCUCUGAUGCCAGCCCACCAGCGGAUCAUGUAACGCUAGCCAGCUCAUCCCCAAUAUAAUGGGAGCUCCUCCCAAGGUGGCCACAUUAAAAGCUAUCAGUUCGGUGUGCCUUGCUACCUUCAUUAUCAUUGGGACGGUCUGCAAGCUGACUUCUCCACCCAACAGCUCCCUGCCAUCGAUCGUGGUCACCUGCAGGGGCUGCUUAAAGGGAUUGUCUGUAUCUGGUGUUCAGCUGCAAACUCUUUGCUCAUGAAAUUGCAGGAGCUGCCUGAGUCCAACAGCGCCUUUAUCUUUAGAGGGUGUCCGUUUGGCAGCUCUAGCGUCACUUCUAUCACUAGGGCGGGUUUAGGAGGUUCUGGCGUGGGCACUCUCACUGCUCUUUGGCCUGGCUGCUGUGCCCUGACAGUGGCAGCCAGGCGUUGGCUUUUACUUGCUCCGGUAUUUUUCCUCUCUUCCAUCCACAGCUCCUACCAUCCCUUGCCAUUCUUUCCUCUGGGGGCAGACUCUGGCAAAGUGACCUGGCUGUUGGCAGAGAUAGCAUUUCCGGGCGCCUUUUCCCUCCUUCUUUGCCCCCUCACUGGGCUUUGAAACCGCGCGCGCGCGCUGUUCCGAUUUCCAUCGGCUCUGCCGGUGGGAAAGUUGGCUCUGGAAUGUCUGGAAUGCGGAACUCCUUCCAACGUUCCCCUUUCCCUUCCCGCCUCUCCAAUGCUCUCGCCUCCUGGCGCGCCCCUAUGGCCAGCGCUGAUUUGGUCAGCUGGUCCAUAGACUCCGCCCUGGGCGCCCGGGAAAGUUCGUCUUUCACAGCCGAAGAAAGCCCUUCUUCAAAGAGCAUUUGAAUGGGUUCCGCCGAUAAGUCCCACCCCAAUCUGUGAACAAGCAUGGUGAACUCAGUCCAGUACUCACGGACAGAUCGGCUCCCUGUUUGCAACCCAUUAACUGUCUGCGCACCACUCCCUUUUCAAUAUCGCUGGAAAACAUCAGAUCCAUGGCGCGAAAGAACUUCAUCGUGUCCUUUAAGACGUCACUAUUCGCUGCCAUCAGGGGUCUAACCCAGUCUCUCGCCCCUUUUCAAGAUGCUCAAUCACGAAAGCCACUCGUGAUUCCUCGUCAGGGAAUUCAUCAAACUGCAGAUUGAGGGCAUAUUGCAUUUCUGUCCGAAAACCAUGAUAGUUUUUGGGCUCCCCCCCAAACUUCUGCACCAAUCCUGGUACCUUUCUGGGGAUCUGGGUGGCUUUAGCCCUUUGGUCUGCAUCCUGAGCCCUCCUCUCCUCAAGCCUCGCCGUCUGCAUCGCUAGCUGGACCUCCAACAUCUGGUACCUUUCUUCCAGGCUUGGACCCGCUCCAGCUCCUGCUUCUCCGGUUCCGGCUGGGUUGCUCAUGAUGCCUUCUCCUGCACAAGCUGCUUUCAAAGACUGUCGGAAUGCUGUGAUGGGAUGAUGAGCUGCUUGUGCGUAAAAUCGUAUCCCCUCAGAGUUUGUUCAAGUCCACAAACCUCUGUCUGUGACGGAGCCCUCAGACAUGGCUACUCUAGUCACUAGCAGAUUCCGACAGUGGUUGCUUUCGUAAUCGCUUCCAACAUAAAAGCUCCUUAACGGAAACACGUCUUCUGGAAUCUCUGCGUGACAGUUUCCGGCGAGGAGUGGGUGUUCUUACAGGAGGUCCUGAAACCUCCCCACUGUUUUCGCUGGAAGUGUCUCUGAGCCAUCCCUCCAGCUCAGCUCCUCUCCCCUGCUGGUUCCUUCUUCAGCUGCUGCGUCUCUCCCAACCUGUGUGAGCCCUUUCACCUCCCUGUUGGUUCCCUCUUCAGCUGCUGCGUCUCUCCCAACCUGUGUGAGCCCUUUCACCUCCCUUCCGUCCGAUGGCACUAUUAUGUGGCACAUUAAGUUUAUCCAUAUUUACUGACCUUCUUUCUCAUUUGGAUGGGUAAAUACAUUAGGUUUGUGAUGGUGUCACAGAUUUUACUUAGGAUCUCUGUUGGAUAUUCUUUCAACACCAGGAUAUUAAAGUUAGCAAGUCCUCUUAGAAAACUAUAGUUUGUGGUUGAAAGUAUGAGCAGUAGUUCUAAACUGCAGACAUUGAAAGGAUUAAGGAUGUUGUUCUUGCAGUUCAAUAAUUAUUUCAAUGUAUGUCAUAAAUUAUCUUCCUUAAAUUAUUUUCUUAGUUCUGUGAAACCAUUAUUUCCAUAAAUAAAGAUUUCCUAAUAAUUCUUCCUCCUCCAUGUUUGCAUUAUAAAACAAUGCAGUAAGAGGUGAUUAAACCUCAGGCUAUUUUUUUGCUUGUAUUUAUUAUACAAAGUGUUAAACAUGGUUGAUAUGCAUGGCUUAUAGACUUAUCAAAAUGUGAGCAAUGCCAGAGUGUAUUGUUUAGACUUAUCAAAACAUUAAUUUGGUCCAGUAUUUAAAAUCUUUUCGGGUAAAAUCUGAUUUUUAAAUGGGCCAGCAUAGCUGCUUCAUAGUGUUUUCUAAUUCAUGGGAAAGCUAUUCCUUUCUCCUUCAUUCUGUCUUCAAAGUUACUCUGGGUCUUUUCUUUUGCCGGAUGAAACCUAUAUCUUUUGCCAAGUAUCAAAAAUUUCGGGUGAACUCCUAAUGGUAAAUUUAAAAAAAUACAAUGGUAUUUUUGACAAUACUAUCAUUUUAAAGGCAGCGAUUUCCCCCAACUGUUAUUUAUUUGUGACCAGUGUUUUUAUUCAUUUUUGUCUUUGUUUUACUUCAGAUAAUUUGUCUAUAUUUAAAAGAUUUAAUGCACACAUUUAUUUAUUAACAAUGUAUGUAUAUUACCCAACAGCUAAUAUACAGGUGAAUAAUAAAGUUUAAAAUGCAUAAAUAUUUUUUAAAAGCAACAAAACAGACCUUAAACUUUAUUAUGAAUCAGCAGCUUUUUGCUGGUUGAAAUAAUGGCUGCUUCUUGAAAACACAGACAUCUUGGAUUUAGAAGGUUUUAAUAAUGUAUUUGGAUGGCAUGCAUAUUUAUGGUAUGACAAGGUCAAAGCACAUAAAGCAUUCAAAAACCAUAUUGUCAGGAAAGCAUUGUUUAAUGUCUGGAUAAGAUAUAAGGACUUACUUGAAAAUAAAACCCCAAGGUGGUUGUCACCGAUGGAAGCGAAAGCACUGAAAAAGCUCAAUAUGGAGGCCAAAUGGCCGAAAUAUUGGGAAAUUCUGGAACAAGAGGGAGACAGAUUGAAACUGCAGAGUUUUGAGAAACUAAAAAAUAAAAUGUGAGAUUGGCUUCAUUAUUAUCAGAUAAUGGAGGCAUAUAAUUCGGACAAGAAAAUUGGCUUCCAGGUGGAAAAAUCAAAAUUAGAAACAGAACUGUUAGAACCCAAAACUAAGACUUUAUCAAAGAUGUAUAACUUGCUGUUGAAAUGGAAUACUCAGGAUGAAACGGUGAAAUCUGCUAUGAUUAAAUGGGCACAAGACGUUGGACAUAACAUAAUGAUGGCUGACUGGGAACAGUUAUGGACCACAGGUAUGAAGUUUACGGCAUGCAAUGCCUUAAGAGAGAAUAUUAUGAAAAUGAUAUACAGGUGGAAAAUGACACCAGUCAAGCUUGCAAAAAUCUAUCAUUUGCCCGAUAAUGAAUGUUGGAAAUGUAAAGAAACUGAAGGUACAUUCUUUCACCUUUGGUGGACGUGCCCAAGGAUUAAGGCUUUCUGGGAGAUGAUCUAUAAUGAAUUGAAAAAGGUAUUUAAAUAUACCUUCCUGAAGAAACCAGAGGCCUUUCUCCUGGGCAUAGUCGGCCAAUCGGUGUCAAAGAAGGAUAGAACUUUCUUUAUGUAUGCCACAACAGCAGCAAGAAUACUUAUUGCAAAGUACUGGAAGACACAAGAUCUACCCACCCUGGAAGAAUGGCAGAUGAAGGUGAUGGACUAUAUGGAAUUGGCGGAAAUGACUGGCAGAAUCCGAGACCAGGGAGAAGAGUCGGUGGAAGAAGAUUGGAAAAAGUUUAAAGACUAUUUACAGAAAUAUUGUAAAAUUAAUGAAUGUUAGAAUGAUGUUGGAUAGAAAUUAAGUGGUUUUUAGCUGUAAUACUAUAAGGGAAUAUGAAAAAUGGAUUAUGAAUAGGUAAAAAUUUAAUGUUACAAUAUUUUAAGAUUAAAGACUAGGAUAAACGAAGAGGGGAAGGAUUUGCUGAACUAACAAACUGAACUGGAAUGCAAAAAAGGGAGGCACGAGGAGGUCCGGGAAACAAGCUAAUGAAAAAUAAGUAAUGGAAAGAUUGAGUUGUUUUUAACUAUUUUUAUUUUGUAUUUUUCUUUUUUCUUUUUUCAUUUUGUAAUAUCUUGAAAAUUUUAAUAAAUAUCUUUAAAAAAAAUAAUAAAAGCAACAAAACAAGCAAUAAAACAUUAAUCGAUAAAACAUCAACAGCAAACCAUGUAAAAUAGCAUAAAAAAGAGGUAUGGCAGAUUGGACUAUUGGAAAUCUUGACAAAUAAAUUGAGACUUGCAUGAGAAUAAAUUUAAAAAGGAAAUUUCACUGCAACUUGCAUUGAUUUAUGAGUACAGCUGAACAUGGCAAUCUUCUGGCACCAGCUCUUUGUAUUGUAUAAUUGAUGUAACUCUCCUAACUCCCCUUCUUUGGUGAAGGAGGCUCACCUAUGGAAAAAAGGGCAAGUUUUAUUUUAUAUAAUCCUUUUGUCAUGUCUUAUACUAAAAGGUAUGAAUUAUACCACUAGUUGUAUGAAUUAAAGUUUAAUUAUUUUUAUUACUUCAAUCCAUCUCAAAGCAUUAUUUAAUCUUUUGCAGCACAGUUGGGUUUUGUUUCUUCCUUUUUAUGUUUCAUGAUGUAGUAUAUAUUAUUUGUAGUUUGUUUAGCUUGCUGCAUUCUUUUAUGAUUUUGUAUGUUAUAUUGGCAUAACACCUAAACAGUUACAGUAUUAUGUAUGCUAAUAUUGUGGAAAUUCCAACUUUGGUGUUUUAUAGCCUCUAUUUUGGAAAUGUGAUAUUUCUUCUUAUUGUUAAAAAUAUUAUAUAUAUAUAUAUAUAUAUAUAUAUAUAUAUAUAUAUAUAUGAUAGCAUAGAAAAGCACUAGAGUAUCUUGAGGAUUUAAAAUCCCAGGAAAUAAAAAGGACCACAAUGUGGGUGCCAGGCAAGUACCUCUAGCGAGGGCAUUCCAUAACCAGGGCAUGACCACCGAAAGGGUAUCAUAUUAGAUGCUGUAAGAAAAUAACACUGUGAAAUCUAAAAAUACUGACAGGGUGAAGAUUUAGGCCGUGUUCCUAUGAAUAGAGAUAAUGGAGGAAGCACUAGACUCCCAAGAAGCAGCACAGGACAUUGGCCUUCCUUGCCAACCUCUUAUUCAGUCCAAUCCUAAACAUGUUUAUUCAGAAGUAGCACUGAACUCAGUGAUUGGAAGCUGCAAUGCCUAGCUUAAGAGAGACCACAGACACUCACAUGAAUUGGCGGGGGGGGGGGGGGGCUGAAUACAGACUUUAGCAGGGAUAGUCAAUGUGUUGCUGCCCUCUAGCUCCUAUAGUCCCUGAUGACUGGCCAUGCUGGCUGGGGGUGAUGGGAGCUCAGCAACUUCUGGAGGGCACCAUAUUGGCUACCACUGCUUUAAGGUAUUAGAUGGGGGGUUAUUUUCAUUGUAUUAUUGACAGGGGUGUAAGGGGAGGGGUAGUACUUCUGGUGAGAGAUAAGUUGUGCUCCUUCUGGGGGAGUUAGUCCAUCUUGGUCCCCACCCUGCACUCAGCUCUCACCUGUGGCUCCUAGAAUAAGGUUACCAGACACCCCCGUUUCCCGGGGACAGUCCCCAGAUCUAAACAUCAGUCCCCAUACAAAAUCCAUUGAAGUUGAAAAGUGUCCCUGGAUUCAUUGAAAAAAAUCUAGUAACCUUAUCCUAGAAGCUGUCAACAUGCUACAGCAGCCACACUCUGGGAAUGGCUUCGACUGGCCAGCUAAACUGAGUGAGGCUAGCUGAUGGGUCUCAAACCCUUGGUGAGUUUAAGGACCCUCCAGGUGAAGACAGGCUGAAGCAGAUUGAGUGGAUGAAACCAAGAAAUGGUCAAGAAGGUGGUUUCUGCAUGUGCUGUAGAGGGAAGCGAGGGACAGAUGGGGCUCAUCAGCCUGGGAAAAUAGUAGCCUAUCUAGGAGAAGGAAAACUCUGGUCCUAACCUCUGCUGCCUUGCAGUUUAUCAUCAGGAGAAGAAAAGGCUAAGGAGUCAACCCUACACAAAUCCAGCCCCUAAUGUGGCUGGAUGGCACCUUGUACGCCUCCUUCCAGCAACUCCUGCAGCCAAACUAGUGCCAAAUGUAUUGCUCUGCUUUCCUUUGGACCACAUCAGCAAGGCUGAGAGGGGAACCAUGUCAUCUGGGCAGCCCAGGAUCUCCAUCCACACACUGCCCAGGCUUGUGCCCUGGGGAGGUCACUUCACCCUUGGAGGUGCACUCCAUUGUCUCUCAAGAUAGAUGGAUGCUAACCACCAUUAUUGACAUAUGUUGUAUCCACAAUGGCCAGUGGAGCUGGUUUAAAUGAGGUGCAAAUCUUUAAAUAAGGGGCAUGGGGCUGGUUAGAAAAUAAUUAUUUACUACAUUAUUACAUUACAUGGCCUUCUUGUCAAAGUUGCCGUUUCUGCUUCUGUUGGCCUUUCCCCCUGCUCAUUCCUUUUCAAAUUCAGUUUCAAUUCCAUUUCCAGAACACUAAUAAUUUAAAGUGAAUUAACACGUUAAAUGAGUCUUUACCUUGGAGGCUGGUUGUGGGUGGGACUGAUAUUGGCAACCUUAUUGUCAAGUCAGGAUCCUAGAAAUGGUUACGGUACUUGGAAGUUUCAGUGUUAUAGUGAAUAGGAUACUAUGCUCUUCAUGGUAGGAAGUUGUCUUGCCUUGGGCAUUGUAUUCUGAACAUACCAAAGUGUCUGUCAAUGUUUGCUUGAUCAAAUCCAUUCCAGAAGAAUAUUUGCCCUUCAGAAUUAUUUUUAUCAUGUGUCUAGCAGGAGCAAUUUAACAGCAUCAGAGGGACAACAUCUGAUACUAACUCUCCUUUUGUUUUCACUCUGGAAUUUUAACACAUUUCUCUCUCCAGGAAGUGCUCUUAUAAUGGCUGACCUGUGCAACAAAUAGAUUAAAAGGUCUCAAGGAGAUCCUGCGCUGCUCAUCCAGGAGGGUAGAGCAACUCCUGCAAGACCUGCAUGAAUCCCUGCAAUUCCCUCCAAGUGUAUGCAGAGAAGAGCUGCCAGUAGUCCAGCAAGCAAUUCAAAGCACGGUGUGACAAAGGGCUGUGUUCCCACCCUAACUCCAUUUGGCAUAAACUUCUAUGUGUUGCUCUCAUAUGCCUUCAGCUUGACUGAAGACUGGGUGUACAUCCAUUCAAGGAGUCUGUUCAACCUUGCAGUCUCCACAUCAAGACAAAAAUGCAGUGGUUCUUUAUGAUGAUUCAGUCUUCAUAGCGCACUGUGAGGAAGCUGAACAGAGAUCCACCAACCGUUUUACCCAAGUCUGCUGGGAGUUUGACUUUUGUCUACCUGGGCUCCACCAUAACCAGCAAUCUCUCAUCGAUGCUGAGCCGGACAAGCAUAUUGGUAAGACAGCUACGGCAAUGGCUCCCCUCUCCAAGAGUACAGGAGAAUGUGGUGCUAAUGACCGAGAGCAAUAUGAAGGUCUACCAGGCUUGUGUGUUGAGCACGCUGCUUUACGGAAGUGAGUCACGGGCAGUGGCGGAGGAAGGGGGCGGGGGUGGUGUGCCCGGGUGCCAGCCUGUGGGGUGGCAUUGCUGCGGGCGGGCGCCUACCCAAUUGGGAUGACGGCUCGCACGGGCGGGCACCUCCCCCUUGGGACACUUGCUCGGGCGGGUGCCGCCCCAUUGGGAUGCUUGCUCGGGUGGGUGCCACCCCAUUGGGACGAUGCUCGUAUGGGCAGGCACCUCCCCCUUGGGACGCCCCCAUGUGCAACGUGCCACGCCCCUGCCGCCCUGGGUACCAAAGCCCCUUCCUCCGCGACUGGUCACAGGCAACUUACAGAAACGAUGCCUCAACGCCUUCCACAUGUGCUGCAUCAGGAAGAUUUUGGGCAUCACAUGGCAGGACAGAGUCUCAAACAGAGAUGUGCUCUCCCAAGGCCACAUUCCAAACAAGUUCACAAUGAUGUCUCAGCAACCUUUACAAUGGCUUGGUCAUGUCCACAGAAUGGAAGAUGGCAGCAUCGUCUAUGGGGAGCUGUCUUCAGGCACCAGGCUUGUUGGCAGACCAACUCUGCAUUACAAAGAUGUCUGCAAACGUGCCGUGGAGCCAGGCUGCAUUAACUGUGCCACGUGGAAUCCCUUGCAGAUGACCGCAGCACCUUGAGACAGGCAGGUUGUGUAUCCACAGCAGUGAUCGGAGAAGGAAUGACCCCUAGGAGCACAGAAACGCAUAGCACAUCUGCAUCAGUACAACUGGAUGCCUUCAUCUGCCUCAGCUGCAACGAAACAUGUCAGUCUCUGCAGCCGCAGCAGGUGCUGUAACUCUCCUAUGCUUUGACUUCACCCCAAAGGUGCACGCUUCUUGCCUCCUGAGAAAGGAUGCCAUCAACAAAUAGCUUACACCUAGACUGUGAAGAAACGCUAAUGUUAAGCUUCGUGAAAAUGCCCAAUAUGCCUCCCCUUAAAGACAGAUUGCCUCGCACGCCCUUAGUGUCUCUUGUAAGCAAAUCCCUUUAAUCAUACUUUUAAGUAUAAACUGAAAGAAGCCUCUUUUUUUUGUUCUUCUCAAAAUAAACAAGGUGAGAGAAAGAUGUUGAUGUUGCAUCCAAUGUGAAAGAAUUGAAAAAAUCUGGAUGUUCAAGUCCUUACCUGGUUCAGGGAGAAAAGUU